rnacentral:misc_RNA from 1 species
CCUCCUUUCUAAGGAAAUCGAAAAUAUCAAAACAAUUAUUUUCGAUUUAAAAAAAUCGGUUAAUGUGACCGUCCUCAUUUCUCUUCUUUUAAUGUCUCUAGGUUAAUCAAGGGGCCGGUAGCUCAGUUGGUUAGAGCACACGCUUGAUAAGCGUGGGGUCGGAAGUUCGAGUCUUCCUCGGCCCACCAACAUAAAAUGAGGGGGAUUAGCUCAGCUGGGAGAGCGCCUGAUUUGCAUUCAGGAGGUCAGCGGUUCGAUCCCGCUAUCCUCCACCAAAAUUUUAGACAUUUAGCUUUUUUAAAUCGUAAAUAAUUUUAUUAUCAAUAUCUAUAUCCGAUUGUUUUCAAUAUAUUUUUGAAAACGAUCAAAACAAAAAUUUAAUUUAUUACAGAAAAAGUUUUUUUCUGUGCAUAAAUCAAGCGUUUAAGGGCGAUUGGCGGAUGCCUUGGCACUGUAAGACGAUNAAGGACGUGGUAUACUGCGAUAAGUUCGGGGAGCUGUAUGCAGGCUUUGAUCCGAAAAUUCCGAAUGGGGAA